rnacentral:lncRNA from 1 species
AUGAAGAUGAUUGUAGAGAAAAUCAAAUACCCAUGUAGUUCUUCUUCUUCUUUGAUGGAUCUUCUUCUUUCUCUCAUGUAGAACAAAACUUUGAUUUCUUCAACAAAAAUCAUAGAACAACUAAUAACAAAUCAGAAAAAAAAUGAAGCAAAUAUCAGAGAACAACUAAUACAACAACCACGAAAAAAAAUCAAGAAAUACUCGUCCAUACGAAAUUUUGAAAACGUACCCGUUGAUAAUUUACAACCAAAGAACACAAUUUACAAAAAACAUUUUAUCAAACACAUGGUGUGCUUGUAUGAAACUGAAACAAACAACAUCAAAUUGUAACAGGUAAUUAAAUUCCAACACAGCAAUAAACAAAGAAGAAGAUUUAUGUUUACGGAGGAAAUCACUACCUUGUGUAGGUGUUGUUAUCCGGUGGAUCUUCUUUCUCCUUCUCCCGUCGUUUCUUUCUCGAAUUUCUUUCUCUAUC